rnacentral:rRNA from 1 species
AACGAACGCUGGCGGCAUGCCUAACACAUGCAAGUCGAACGAGACCUUCGGGUCUAGUGGCGCACGGGUGCGUAACGCGUGGGAACCUGCCCUUAGGUUCGGAAUAACUCCCCGAAAGGGGUGCUAAUACCGGAUAAUGUCUUCGGACCAAAGAUUUAUCGCCUUUGGAUGGGCCCGCGUUGGAUUAGCUAGUUGGUAGGGUAAAAGCCUACCAAGGCGACGAUCCAUAGCUGGUCUGAGAGGAUGAUCAGCCACACUGGGACUGAGACACGGCCCAGACUCCUACGGGAGGCAGCAGUGGGGAAUAUGGGACAAUGGGCGAAAGCCUGAGCCAGCAAGGCCGCGUGAGUGAUGAAGGCCUUAGGGUUGUAAAGCUCUUUUACCCGGGAUGAUAAUGACAGUACCGGGAGAAUAAGCACCGGCUAACUCCGU